UACUCCCUGUGUCCUACUCGUUCGAGUUUUGCCAAAAUCACCAUCGCCCUUGCCCUAUCAAGUCAUCCCGAUCUCGCCGAAGUUCGGCCGCCGCAGAAGCCUUCCGCCGGUCAAAUUCGUCACCUGCAGAAGGGGAGCAGCGUAACGACCGCAUCAACCUCGACCAGAGCCAGUUUCCGCUGCCACCGCUCCAGCCGGUCACUGUCGCCACCGGAGCAAGCUCCAAUUGUGUCAGAGGUCACUCACUUCAUCUCUGUCGCGCUCUCCACUCGUAGGUCAUAUCUGCGUAGCCGGAGGCCCUCUGUAGCCGUCGCCCGCAUCACCAACGAGCCGCCAGCGCCGUCCUUCUCCAACUCCGACGACGCCCAGCUCUGUUCUCAGAUUGUCCGAAGUGUGAAGCGGAUCAGAAUUAAGCGUUAGAGUACUUCAAUACCGUUCAAGGCAAGUUUGCACUUUGAUUUUGCUUAUCCUAUAUUCUGCUAUGCAAGUGUGGUUUUAUGUUAUGAUAUAUGUUUGGCCUGGCCGUGUUGUCAUGUUUUGGUAUUGAUUGUAUUAUGUGUUGGUGUGAUCAACUUGCUAUGGUAGAUGUGGGCAUGUGUCGAGUGAUGAUGCAUGGAAGUGGUGAGCGCUUAUAGCUGUAGGCUCGGGACUUUUACUCAGGUGAAUGCGUCACUGGCUGAGCGCUCUAUUGUCCCUAGAGAAUGCGCCAUGGCUGAGCGCACUUGAGUUGUCGUGGCUUUUCUCAUGUGAAUGCGUCACUGGCUGAACGCUCUAUUGUCCCUAGAGAAUGCGCCAGGGCUGAGCGCACUUGAGACAUCUUGAAGAUCUUUGUCAUCUAUGUUGUGUGCACCUUGCCUAUGUCGUGGAUGUAGGUGAAGGUAGUUUUACGCGAAACCAAACUUGAGUGUUUUGUUUGUCAUGCUUUGCUUUGUGGAUGUAGGUUUGCUAUAUCAUUAUGUGUAAUUUGCCAAUGCAUUCAAUGUAUUGACCCUUUGUGGCUGCAACUUAUCAUGUUGCAGGAUAUUCAGGUGAUCAGUGAGAUACAGUAGGGUCGCGAGUCUUCACUCAACAUUUCGCCAGUGGGCAUUGACGGGACUCAU